rnacentral:lncRNA from 1 species
AUGUGAUGAAAUGUUGGUUGCCUAACAAGGCAAGCAGGCAACAGGUUGAAGGUAAACGGUAGAAUAUUGCGAGAAAACAGUAUAUAUACAAAAGGUGGCUAUUUAUUGUGUUAAAUUUAUUAUUAUACUAUUGUAAUGAAUAAUUAUGUCUGUUAAAAGUUGGAAAAUAGUUGUUAACAAAAUUAAAUAACUAAAGAUUACUGUUAGUGAGGUAGAUAUAUGUGUGAAGGAUAUGAUUGUAUAUAGUAUUGUGAAAUGAAUGAGAGUAUGUAAUAAUAUAAUAAAAUUAAACUAUGUGACAUAAAGUCUAAUUCAUCUUUAUGUAGUUUUGAAAGGACUGAAUGAAUUGGAAGUAAUGUAUCUUGAUAGUCUACCAACGUAGAAUAGUGAA